rnacentral:rRNA from 1 species
UGGGGAAUAUUGGACAAUGGGCGCAAGCCUGAUCCAGCCAUGCCGCGUGAGUGAUGAAGGCCCUAGGGUUGUAAAGCUCUUUCACCGGUGAAGAUAAUGACUGUAACCGGAGAAGAAGCCCCGGCUAACUUCGUGCCAGCAGCCGCGGUAAUACGAAGGGGGCUAGCGUUGUUCGGAUUUACUGGGCGUAAAGCGCACGUAGGCGGACUUUUAAGUCAGGGGUGAAAUCCCGGGGCUCAACCCCGGAACUGCCUUUGAUACUGGAAGUCUUGAGUAUGGUAGAGGUGAGUGGAAUUCCGAGUGUAGAGGUGAAAUUCGUAGAUAUUCGGAGGAACACCAGUGGCGAAGGCGGCUCACUGGACCAUUACUGACGCUGAGGUGCGAAAGCGUGGGGAGCAAACAGG